rnacentral:misc_RNA from 1 species
CACCACUCAAGCCUCGCUUGGUAUUGGGCGCCGCGAGUCUCUCGCGCGCCUCAAAGUCUCCGGCUCGGCGGUUCGUCUCCCAGCGUUGUGGCAACUAUUUCGCAGUGGAGUUCGGGUCGUCUGUGGCCGUUAAAUCUUUCAAA